AUGGCCCCCACCCCCCGGAGAGGAACGAAAUGCAAAGAAGGAACUCUCUCAACCAUGGUUCCCAAAGGCCAUUAAUGGUGAAACUUGCAAAAACGCAAAGAGGUAAAGCACCAGCACUUGAUCGAACCUCUACUCAAUCGGCCUAAUGCUUCUUGUUACCCUACCCUUCCAUAGGAAAGUUAAAAGGCAUGGUUUCCAUCUCUCUUCCUUGCCUUUCUUGCUUCUUACCUGUUUGGUGCAUUCUUCAAUCUGUUAAUCGCCAUUUUCCAAUUUAUUUCCGAC
rnacentral:lncRNA from 1 species